CAUGCAUGUCUAAGUAUAAAUUCUUGUACGAUGAAACUGCAGACGGCUCAUUACAACAGUGAUAAACUAAUAGACUUUCGGGUUUUUAACCUUUUGGAUAACCGCAGUAAAUCGGGGCUAAUACAUACAAGCGAUGGGUGACUGGCAACGGAAGCUCAGCGAUUAUUAGCAUUACUACCAAUACCUUCGGGUCUUGUGGUGAAACCGAAUAAUAUUGCAGAUCGAGGAUUUAUCUUCGACAAGUCUACUGUGUCACUGCCCUAUCAACUUUCGAUGGUACGGUAUUGGCCUACCAUGGUUGUAACGGGUAACGGGGAAUUAGGGUUCGAUUCCGGAGAGGGAGCCUGAGAAAUGGCUACCACUUCUACGGAAGGCAGCAGGCGCGCAAAUUACUCAAUCCCAAUACGGGGAAGUAGUGACAAUAAAUAUCAAUACCUAUCCUUAACGGAGGGCAAUUGAAAUGAACACAAAUUAAAACUCUUAAUUAACACAAUUGGAGGGCAAGUCUGGUGCCAGCAGCCGCGGUAAUUCCAGCUCCAAUAGCAUAUACUAAAGUUGUUGCAGUUAAAAAGCUCGUAGUUGAAGUUAAAGGUUUACUGGGCUAAAGUUAUUUGCCACUCUGGUGGUUAAAUCAACUCCAGUAUUCCUUUUUUUAAUAGCUCUGCUUCUAGCAUCUUUGAUGUUAGUUGUUUGGGCAUUUCACUGUGAGAAAAUUGUGGUGUUUAAAGCAGGCGUCUCGCCUGAUCUUUUGCAGCAUGGUAUGAUGAAACAUGACAUUUUACG
rnacentral:rRNA from 1 species